rnacentral:ncRNA from 1 species
ACGGAGGAAGAUUAAAAGGGAAUCGGGUGUAACUCCCGGACAGUCCCGCUGCUGUGAAGCUCUGUGAAACAUCUUACAAAUUAACCGGAUUCGUGCCACUGAUGGAGGUGAAAAAUCCAUCGGGAAGGCUUGUAAGAUGAGAGUCAGUCAGAAGACCUGCCAUUCGGAUAU